CAGCUCUGUUUAGUUAAGUCCACUUACUUCCUCUCUUUAACACAAAGAGCUCUAACAAGUUUUGGAUUUUGAACUCAUCUGCGUGAGUUUUAAAAAGUAGAACUUACUGUUAUUAAUUGUGUUGACUAUUUGAAAAUGUUAUCAGAUCAGUAUGUGUUGAUUGAACUUGGGUUUCAAAGUUAUCAGAUGGGGGGGCGGGGCGUGGGGGAAAAGGCGGGAGUGGGCCAAUGGGAGCUACAAAAUUAAUAUUUGGACUUUUGAGUUUAAUUGUCUUCUUUAAUUCAUGGCAAGGUUGAAGCAUGAACAGAAUAAUUUAAACACCGCAGAUAAGUCAUAUAUCAUAUCGAAAUACAGACACUUUGUAGUAAAUGAUCAAGGACUACUUCGACACGCGGGAAGAGACUAUGCCUGACAACGGCCUAGAACCGAGGCGGAGUAACACGACGCGGGGACCGAAGUGACGAGUGGUGAACGUGUCGAAGCAGAUUUUUUUUACACGAGGCUGAGGAACAGCAGGUGAGUUUAAUUAUCUCUAAUUAAGUCUUUUAACAUUAACCUCAUGUGUAGUAACGUAAUAACGUUAAAUGUGUAGGUUGUGCUUUUUUAAUAGCCUGGAAAAUGUGACUGCAACAUUAGUUUUUAUUCGAGCCCGACAUGAGUUAGCUAGUUUGCUAGUUAGCCACCUAACGGUUGAGGCUGCGUGUUAGGGCUGCUGUCACUUCGUGCUCGUGCUUUGCUCACUCUUUGUAUUUUAUAUUGACUAGUUACUCCAAUUCAUUUAGUAAAGUUGUUUUAACAUGGAUAUUAUGCCGAUAAUUAAUAAUGAGCAGCAUGCGCUGUUUUCCUCGGUCCCCUAUUACCGGUAUGUUUUACACAGACAGAUGGAGACCGUCACGGUAGCGUAUCGCUACCCAGGACAUUAUUAAGAGACUGAGUGUAAAUGUUGCCUGUGUGUUUGUCUAUGUGUUCCGUUAUCUUCAUACUGUUUUCAAAUCGUUUAUCAACCAUGUCAUUUAUCAUACCCGCUACGGCAGUUUAUUAUAAUCUUGCAAGUACCAGCAUUACAACUUUCUGUUUAAUACCAUUUACCAUUAACGUCACCUGUUCUUUUGCAAUAACCACUCAAACAAGUAUGUCGUUGUUAAAUUCCAUGUCCGUUUAUUUAGUUUAGUUACAUGUUAACACAGCGUAAAUGUUCGUCUCACCAGCCUCGUCUGGUGUUUGUAUUUGGGGUUGCGUGCCGCGUCAACGCGGUUUAAAUUCACGUCACGACUUCCGGGUAAACCGGAAGUGACCCUGUGUUGUCGUAAUUAUUUUUAUUGCUGUUUUUAUAUAUUUUGGCUAUGCCAAAAUAGGAGCAAUAGUACACUGUUUACGUGCUUAAAGGUUUUCUAGUUUAUAGAGGGAGAAUGGUAGCUGUUUAAAGCUGUUUUCAUUUUUAUUGCCUUAUGGGCCUUCAUUUGGGAAAAUAAACGAUCCCAUCAUUUUCCUUGGUGUUUACCACCAAGUUCAAGUCGCUCGAACACAUCUACCCAUGACAGCUUGCAAUUUGAUGAAUUAACUGAAAAUGAACGUCAUUUAUAGAUAAAAAAUAUAUAGUUUUAACUAACGUUAAGUGUCUGAGAACUGUUGAAUUAUUACUUUGGUUGACAGAGGAGUAGGCUGAUGACAGAGGAGAGGAUCUGUGAUGGCACAGGGCUGUUUACCAGUUUAAACCAUUGAGUUGAACAGAUUGUAAAAUAUAUUUAUUUUAAUGUUUAGUCAGAGAGGUAGGAAAGGAAGGAUAGGAUAUUAAAUGCUUAACUAAUCAUUAUCAACAGGUUGGAGGUUUUAGAGCCUACUUAACUCAUGUUGGCACUACUGAUGAAUUGAAAAAUAAUAUUGAUUUGUGUUUUUGUUUUAUUCAGUUUAUAAUGUAAUAUUCAACAUCACAAUUUACAGUCUUCAAAAUUAACAGCAACACUACUUAUAACAAACCCAAACUGAAUAUUUUAAACACCAUAAAGGUUGUAAUUCUUGCAGGGUUGUUGAAUCAUACUGCAUAAGUGUUAGCUAAACGUAAUCCAAUAAACUAAAUGUAAUUGAAAAUAACAUAGAAUAUUGGUUUAUAGUUGUUGUUGUUUUUUUGUAGUUAAUAGAUAACUGUUCUUAACCACUAAUUGUCUAAAUAAAUGUUAUGUUAAUUUCAUUUUUAAUUUUUCUGUUCACAGAAUUCAAGCACGUCCAGUUCAUGUGGAAAUGUAAGUUUUGUGCCUUUUCCUCCAGUGGCCAAGGAAAAAUAAUACAGCAUUAUAAAGAGCAUCAUGGACAUCACCGGAGGUGUUCAGGCCUUGUCUGCAUUUAUCAAGACUGUUUGAACACAUUUCAAACCCAAACUGAACUUAAAAACCACUUGAAAGAACAUUCAAAAGGUCAUAAAAUUGUGACCAAGUUAUGCUGUGAUUUGUGUACAUUCUCAGAGCCUAGUAACAUUAUCAAAUAUUGUGCCCAUCUGAAGACUCAUUUGAGGAACAGGGAAACAGUUAAAUGUCCGUUUGCAGGUUGCUCUUUCAAGUCCAAUGUACUGUCAACAUUUACUUCUCAUAGAAGUCGCUAUCAUAGGUUGUCCACCUUAAACAGUUUAAGACCAGAGCUUUUUGUACACCAUGCACUUACAAAUGCAGUGCUAGAAGAGGAUUCUGUUUCUGGGACUGAGGCAUCAACUUCAUAUGAUUCAGUACCCGAGGGUGUACCUCCUCUUGAAAAUGGAGAGGCAAUUAAACGUCAGUUGGCAUCUUUAUUUAUCCGUAUGCAAACAAUUCUGCAUGUUUCAAAUUCUGCAGUACAGGAAGUAAUUGAUGAGUUAUUUGACAUUGGAGACUUUGCUUAUAAAAAUAUUAAAACAAUUAUAGAGAAAGUUUUGGAGGAAAAUAACUGUGCAGCUGAUGCCUCUGUUGUAACAUCAUUGUCUGAUGAAAUACAAUCGUUGAACCCACUCAAAUUUCUUUCAAGAGCAGGGCCUUUGGGCACAGAACGUAAAAGGCAGUCAUUUUACAGAAAGAUUUUUACAGUGAUUGAACCGGUUGAAUAUGUGCUAAAUCCACAAGAAAAAAAUCAUUCAUUUGUUUAUGUUCCUAUUUUAGAUUUGUUAAGUAAGUUGUUGGAAAGAAGUGAGAUUCUAGAGAAAUUACAGAGAUCCAAUGGACAGGAAGGUCAUUACUGCUCAUUUCAAGAUGGUGAAUACUUUAAAGAAAACAAACUUUUUGCUGAAGAAUUAGGCAUAGCUCUUGGCUUAUACAUUGAUGAUUUUGAAAUCUGUAAUCCAUUGGGAACUUCAAGAAAGAAACAUAAGUUGUGUGGUAUAUAUUGGGUGAUAGCUAACUUACCCAUAAGACUUAGAUCAACAUUAUCAUCAAUUUAUCUAGCUGCAUUGUGCAAAACUGUACAUAUAAAACAAUAUGGUUACAGCAAAGUUUUGGAGCCUCUGAUUAGAGACCUUCAGCAUUUAGAGACGACUGGUGUAUUUGUGAAAAGACUUGGGUCUUGUGUCAAAGGUACUGUUUUGUAUGUGUCUGCCGAUAACUUAGGUGCACACUCCCUUGCUGGAUACCAAGAGUCUUUCAACGUGGAGAAAUUUUGCAGAUUUUGUUUGGCUAACCUUAAAGAUAUUCAGCAUCAUGAUGUCAGAAGUGGGGCAUUUACUUUGAGAACACCAGAACUGUUUGAUGAAGCCAUUAAUGUGCUUAACACAACUAAUGCCUCGUGUGUUCAUGGUUUGAAGAGAGACUGUCCUUUAAGCAGACUUGCCCACUUUCAUCCUGUAAAAGGUUUUCCACCUGAUUUUCUGCACGAUUUAUUGGAGGGAAUUGUACCUGUGGAACUAUGCAUAUGUCUUUCAGAUCUUAUUGCUAAAAAGUAUUUCACAUUGAAUGAUCUUAAUGAUAGAAUAGCAUCAUUUCCUUUUCAGUUUUCUGACAAAACUAACAGGCCUCAGACAAUACCAACAAACUUUUCAAAAAAAAGAACAAUUGGUGGCAACGGACACGAGAACUGGGCACUUCUGAGAUUUCUUCCACUGUUGAUUGGCCAUCAUGUUCCAGAGAGUGAAAAGACUUGGUCUGUGAUCCUUGAACUGAAAGACAUUGUGGAGGUGUUAUCAAGCCCCUCUUUCACAACAGAAACCCUGUGCUACCUACAAGCCAAAAUUUCUGACCACAGACAGUUGCUCUUAGAAUUAUUUCCUGGUACUAAAUUACGCCCUAAACAUCAUUAUCUUGAACAUUAUCCUGUUCUGAUUCAGAAAUUUGGACCAUUAAUUGAGUUCUGGACAAUACGAUUUGAGGCAAAACAUUCUUUUUUAAAAGAAUGGUUCACAAUACUGGCAAUUUCAAAAAUAUUCUGCACACGUUGGCCACAAGACAUCAACUGAUGUUGUCAUAUUACUUGGAGAUGCCAACUAUUUUCAAGCCAAGCAUUGAGACUGGACGAGUAUCAGUUGUGUCUGUGGGCAUCCUAGAUGCUGCAAUCAGAGAGGCUGUAUGGAAUAAGUUUGAAGGUCUGGACUCUGUUUCACUCACCUCCAUUGCUUACUUGAAUGGGACAAAAUAUUCUAAAGGCAUGGUACUCUCAGUUGGACAGACGUGUGGACUGCCAGAUUUUGGGAGAGUAUUGGAGAUCUGUGUAGUGGAUGGUUACAUAUCAUUCAUUACUGAACUAUUCACAGCGACCUUCCAAGAGCAUUUCAGGUGUUACCAGCUUGCCAGAAGAGAUCCUGCAACAAUUGUGGUCAUUGAUCCGGACCGUCUGAAUGACUACAUUCCCCUUGCUGCAUACCCUGUUGAAGAAAAGCUGCUCGUCACUCCAAGGACAUUCAUGUUACAUUAAGUUCUUGGUAUCUCAUCAAUGAUGCUUCUCAGAGUCAUCGUCUCACCUCAGGAAAUAAGACGUGUCACCCUACAGGAGGUUCCCCCAUCAGUUGAUGAGCUAUGUGUAGUUCUGGGCAACACUCUGGGCCUCCGUGGGAAGUUCCUUUUACAGUUUGAAGAUCCAGACUUUGGGAAUGAGCUCUGCAAUUUGACAGACAUCAAGGACCUACCAACUGAACGAGCCACACUGAAAGUUCUGUUCACGUUUUCUGAACCAGUUUCUGACUCGACAUUAGAUACUGCAAGCCUUAGUUCCCAGAAUAGUGCAAGCCCCGAGCCCCCUAGUAGUGGUGAUUCUUCAGAAUGGCCUGAUCCCUUUGUUAUUUCAGAUUUCUCCCAUGACGUUGAGUUUCAGCUGAGGGUAGCAAAUGAUGCCUAUGCCAAGGAUGGAGCUGUGACGGUCAUCUCAAAGAGUGUGAAGAGUAAAAUACUGGACAGACUGGCUGAUAGCAUAACCAGAAUCACUUGCUAUCCAAGUAAAGACAAUUUAGAAAGCGUAGCCAAAGCUCUUGUUGCAAAGCAUCCUUGUCUCAGGGAGCCGGGUUCAGGUAAAGGAUGGUACUGCUGGAGAUUCAGCCUGAUAUUCAAGAUGGGCAAUUACCGUCAGAGGAUGAUGGCAGCUGGAUGCCCUGAAGUUCUUGUAAAUAAAAGAAAAAGACAGGGAAACACCAAGCCAGUCAAGAAGGCAAAAAAGGGAGAGAUCCACUACUUACCAGAGCCACCUGAUGGACAAACUACUGUUAAAUCAGAGAAGGAUCGUGAGACCAUGCUUUUGGAAGUGCAGAAGAGAGAGCCAGAUUUGCACCUGCUCGAUGAAUUGAUGACUGCAACAUUCUCCCAGCGAAGACAAGAGAUCAUUGGUGACGAGCCACUCAUUGCUGCAGUCAAGGACAGAUGGCCUGCAUUGUUUAGUGAGAGACAGCUCAGUGCUGAGUUCAGUAGAAUCGUCACCAAAGACCUGCUGGAGUCAUUCCUGGAUGGACUUGAUGCCUUGGUGCCAGAUGUUCUACAGAUGUACGGAGAAGCUGCUGCAUCAGGCAGGAGGGUGCGCCUGAGCAGUGUUCUGAGUUGUCUUCAAAAGGAGGACACGAACCAAAACAAAAGAACAGCUGUCCUACUUGGUCUUCCAUGCUACCUUGCAGAAGAUUCCUCUGACAUAAUCAGGAUGUGUGAUGCUCAUGGUGAAACCCUUGACGUGCUAAUGAGCGGGAUGCAAGUUGGACUGUUGAUUGGACACGAAGGCCCUCUGCAUGAUGCAUUUCCAUUGGAUGUUUUCAACGUGGCUCUGGUAGUAGAGGAGAAGAUCAUCCUACAUGACCUCCGAGAUGUGUCCACAGGCUUUGCCAUGUUACUGGGUGCAAUCUACUGCCUAAACCUUGAGUACCCACGUAAUAUGAAGUAUUCUUUUGAGUUCCUGCAGAGGGUUGUCAUGAACAUUAAACCGGACCAAUGUUCAGCCAGAAUCCAUGGACUCAGAAAUAAACUGCUUAGAUAUCGCAUGUAAACAAAGAAAUGCACUCGUCAAGCAACUACUAGGAGGCAGCAGUUAUUUGGGAAGCUUGCCUUGUUCUUUACACUAGCAUACAGGUUUUCAUCGGCUUAGUUUGUUCAGCACAAGUCAGGUAUGCGUGACAAAUGUGUCACUUGUGAAGUUGAAAAAUCUGAAAUUGUUGAAAAAUCUAAAAUAGUUCAAAUGUGCAAAACAUUUUGAGGUAUAAUGAAAACAAACUUGUUUCGAAUUGUGGUUAAAGAAUCUUUUAGACGUGGAUGUUGAUGUUUUGUAAAGCUCUGCGUAUACCACAUUUUUCCUCUGUACAACUUUGCCAUACUUAUUCUCUCAUUGACAGUUUUAAAAUUGUGUUCAAUUAACACAAAUUUAAGUGAGGAUAAGUAAGUAAGUAUUUAUAAUGUACACCAUUGUUUUUGUUCAUAUGACGAUAUGGACCGGUUAUCUCACUUUUUGCCUCUUAUGACACCUGCCCAUCUGUCCCCCUUUCCCCAGCACUCUCGGUUGUCAACCUCAGUGAGGCCUGUUUUGAUGCCAAGACAUGUUUAAGAUGUAUCAAUGUUCCACAUUGUUCAUAUUCAUGUCGAGAUUUUAUGAUUAUCUGUUUACUAUCUCACAUACCUCAUUGUUCAACCCCACCUCACCUUCUUUCUUUCUACGAGUCCACCCUCUGUCUCGCUGUCUGUCUGCAAGUCCACCCUCUGUCUGUCUGUCAGUCCACCCUCUGUCAGUCCACCCUCUGUCUGUCUGUCUGUCUGUCUGUCCACCCUCUGUCUGUCUGUCUUGUCUGUCUGCAAGUCCACCCUCUGUCUGUCUGUCUUGUCUGCCUGCAAGUCCACCCUCUGUCUGUCUGUCUUGUCUGUCUGCAAGUCCACCCUCUGUCUGUCUGUCUUGUCUGUCUGCAAGUCCACCCUCUGUCUGUCUGUCUGCAAGUCCACCCUCUGUCUGUCUGUCUUGUCUGUCUGCAAGUCCACCCUCUGUCUGUCUGUCUUGUCUGUCUGCAAGUCCACCCUCUGUCUGUCUGUCUUGUCUGUCUGCAAGUCCACCCUCUGUCUGACUGUCUUGUCUGUCUGCAAGUCCACCCUCUGUACAUUACAGAGACAUACAUUGGGUAUGGCAUGUUAAAACCUUUAACUUCUGUUAAAGUUUAUAUAAAUGUAUUUAUAAAAUAAAUGUUCUUGGACAAAUGCAAGAA